CCCUCACCUGAUAGGCUCGCUCAGACGCCGGCGUCCUUUCUUUGCGUGGCGUACGCCGGCUCGAACCCACGUACGUCCUUACGCGCCCACGGGGGUACGCAGAAGGCUCGUGCGCAAGCCCGUAGGCACGCAGCCAAGCAGUUCCGUACACACGCACUUACGUACACACGCACAUAGGCGCGCAGGCCCCGGCCGCUAGACGUCGUUGGACUCACGCGGCCCCGACUCGCGCGGGAGGAUCAGGCUGGACCGGGAGGUAGACGCCGGCGGCCUGAGCGGAACCGGAAGGAAGAAACAACGGGGUGGGGCGAGCGGUCGGUGAGAAGAGAAAUUCUCCUGUGUUUCCUGCUGCGCCUCUAACCUGACCUGUGCCAGAUGAAGCCAACGGCCCUCUACCCCUCUCCCUCCCAGUUCCCCAUCUCUAUCCAUGGAACAAAAUGAGCAGUAAGAAAUGGAGUACACAGAGAAUCCUUAAGGAAUUACAAUUUCUGGAAGAAUCUCUGGUGCCUCUGGUGUUUCCUGAUUUCUCUCCUAGCUGGGUACAUUGCCUAUAUGACCCAGGAAUUUUUCUAACUCCUCUCUGGCCCCUGUGUGACCCCAACGUAAGUUAACUAACAUUUAAGUUAACUAACUUAACAGGCUUAGCUUAACUGUGCUUCCUAAAACACAACUCUGCCCAGGACUUGCCCUGGCUCCUUAUGCUUAGCAUUCAAGUGCCUAAACCUCUCUGGCCUCAGUUUGUCCAUGUGUCAAAUGAGGAUAAUAAAACAGUCCCCAGAUUGUGGGAUUACUAUGAGCACUGAAUGGGCCCAGCUUAGCCAUCAUCCUAAGCUCCUUGAGGCUGUAGUCAUAACACGACCUUGUUCACGACAGCCCUCCUGUUUUCUUGGGCAUAGGUGCCCCUUCAGUCUCGCUGCCUGGACACUCCUCCAGUUCCCAGCACUCAGUGCCUCUGCCUUCUGCACUGUUUUCUCAUGGCGGAUACCUUCCUUCACUUCCUGUGGCCUCAUGAAGCUUCUGCUAACUGUCUGAGCCUAGUCACAAGACCUGAUUUUUCUUCCUGACAACUUUCCAGAACCUUGUCUGUGGUUCUGCUUUUGUGCAAGGUUACCUCAGGCAGUUUCUGUUCUGUGUGUGUGUGUGUGUGUACACGUGUGCCCAGUUACUAAAACUAGACUGGAUUCCAUCUGAAAACAAGGACUCUGUGCACUUCACCUUUGUCCUAUCCUCAGAGCCUGCUUCUGCCAAUGGAGACACUCACUAGAUGUUGACUGAUGAUGGUGAUAAACUGUCCAAUUCAAGUCAGCCAGGAUUCAUCGACUCUACCAUGACAAGCUACUGGACCAUGCUGGACUUGGCGGAUGGGUGGCAUAGGCCCUGCCCUGGACUCAGUGCAUGCUAGUUGGAUAAGAA